AGAAAGGGCGGGGUGGAGGAGGGGGAAGGGCGGGGGUGAUGCCGCGCGGUCGCCGGCUUGGGAUGGUGUUCGCGCCUCCGAGACCCGGACAGAGGCAAGCAGGGGCGCCGUGGGUGCCAGAGAGGCGGAAGAGGAGGCCUGAUGGGGUCAGCACAGUGUUUCCGGAGCCCCACGUAUGAACAGCACAGUGCCGGGAGCGCCAGGGGCUCCAAGGAAAGUAUCAGACCCAUUCCCUGUCCCCAGGAAGCUUACCAUCCAGCGGCACAGAGAAGGCUCACCAUGGACUCCAUUCAAGAACGAGGCAGGAUAGGAUGUGAAUAAGUGCAAGGUGUGAGUGACUGACAGUAAGUGCAAGGGGGUUCAGAGAAGUGGCAGCUCCAAGCCUGCUUCUGCUGAAGCUGGAGGGCUUAUCUGUCAAGAACCCCCAACUCAGGAAGCUCUGCUCCAAGUGAGCUGAGUAAGGAGAGUCUGCCUCCAAGUUGUUCCUCUGCAGUUGACUGUGCUCCAUCCUAAAUCAUUCCUUGCACGGGCAGAAGCUGUUUGGCAUUGCACCAGUGUCUGAUUUUGUUUGAAUAUGGUGCCUUUGGCUUAAUCAGUCAGACAUGCAUUCAACAACUAUUUAUUUAUUUAUUUAUUUAUUUAUUUAUUAUUUUGAGACAGAGUCUCGCUCUGUCGCCAGGCGGAGGUUGCAGUGAGCCGAGAUUGAGCCACUGCACUCCAGCCUGGCAACAGAGUGAGACUGUCUCAAAAAGUAAAUAAAUAGAAACUCUUGGUUCCAUGCGUAGUCUAGCAUUUUGUAGCACUUCUAAUCACGAAGUUAUUUUUAAUAUUUGUUUGGUCUGUUAUACAAAAUGUAGACUGGAUGGCUUAUAAACUACAGAAAUCUCUCACAGUUCUGUAGGCUAGAAAGUCUAAGAUGAAGAUGCCAGCAGCCUGCUUCCUGGUUCAUACAAGGUCAUCUUCUCACUGUAACCUCACAGUGAGAGGAAGGGCCUAGGGGUGACUCUGGGAUCUCUUUUAUGAGACACUAAUCCCAUUAAUGGGGGCCCCCCACCCUCAUGGCCUAAUCACCUCCCAAAGGCCCCACGAUUGCCUUGGGUGUUAGGAUUCCCACAUAUGAAUUUUAGGGGAACACAGACGUUCAGGCCAUAGCAAAUAUCUUGCCCAAAUAUCUCUAGUUCCAUCCUUUUGGUCACUCUCAGACCAGAACAUUUACUGAGUGAUUACUAUGUCCCACAAAAUUCUUAUUUAACCCUCAGAAAAACCCUCUGGGGGAAGCAUUGUUAUCACUCCUAUUUCAUGAGCAGUUAUGUAACUUGCCCCAGAUAAGACUUGGUUAUGGCACAAAUUCUGUGUUGGAGCCUUCAGACCACUCUGCUUCCCAAGCAGGGGAGGAACAGAACAUUAAAGAUUUUCUUGGCCUUGGCUUUCAUUUCUUCAUCGUGGUUCUGAAAGGAAAAUUGGCUACAGUCCUAAAUGUAUGUGUGGGCCCACGCUAGCAGCUCAGCUCUCAGUGCCAGCCACACUGAGCCCUGGUCUCCCUAACUUCCAGGCCUUUACUCUGCUUGUCAUUGAGCUGAUGACCAAGAUCCAGCCUAGAGCACAAGAAGACAAACGCUGCGUGAUCUCGUGUGUAGAACCUAACAAAGUGGAACUCACAGAAGCAGAGAGUAGAAUGGUGGUUGCCUGUUGGAAUGGGGAGAUGGUCAGAGAAUGCAAACUUUCAGUUGGAUGAGAGGAAGAAGUUCCAGAGAUCCAUUGUGCCACAUGGUGACAAUAGUUAAUAACAAUGUACUGGGCGGUGGGGGGUGGCUUACGCCUGUAAUCCCAGCACUUUGGGAAGCUGAGGCAGACAGAUCACUUGAGGUCAGGAGUUCUAGACCAGCUUGUCCAACAUGGUGAAACCCUGUUUCUACUAAAACUACAAAAUUAGCCAGGUGUGGUGGUGUGCGCCUGUAAUCUCAGCUACUUGGGAGGCUGAAUCGCUUGAACCCAGGAGGUGAAGGUUGCAGUGAGUCGAGACUGCGCCACUGCCCUCCAGCCUGGGUGACACAGUGAGACUCUGUUUCAAAAAAACAAAAAAAAGCAAUGUACUGUAUACUUGAAAAUUGCUCACAGGGAUUUUAAAUGUUCUCACCAUUACAAAAUGAUAAAUAUGUGACAUAAUGCAUAUGUUAAUUAGCCCGAUUUAGUGAUUCCACAGUGUAUACAUAUAACAAAACAUGUUGUACACCAUAAAUGUAUACUAUUUUUAUUUGCCAAUUAAAUAUUUUUUUUUAAAGUU
rnacentral:antisense_RNA from 1 species